GCAUUGCCACCGCCGCCACCGCUGC
rnacentral:piRNA from 1 species